rnacentral:hammerhead_ribozyme from 1 species
AUCUAGCUGACGAGUCUCAAAUGAGACGAAACGCGUCGUGAAU